rnacentral:rRNA from 1 species
AGAUAUCAUUAAGCGGAGGAAAAGAACCCAACAGGGAUUGCCCCAGUAACGGCGAGUGAAGCGGCAACAGCUCAAAUUUGAAAUCUGGCCCCCCGGCCCGAGUUGUAAUUUGGAGAGGAUGCUUCUGGCGCGGCGCCGUCCGAGUUCCUUGGAACAGGACGCCACAGAGGGUGAGAGCCCCGUACGGACGGACGCCUAGCCUCUACGAAGCUCCUUCGACGAGUCGAGUAGUUUGGGAAUGCUGCUCAAAAUGGGAGGUAAAUUUCUUCUAAAGCUAAAUACCGGCCAGAGACCGAUAGCGCACAAGUAGAGUGAUCGAAAGAUGAAAAGCACUUUGAAAAGAGGGUUAAAAAGUACGUGAAAUUGUUGAAAGGGAAGCGCCUGUGACCAGACUUGCGCCUCGCGGACCACCCGGCGUUCUCGCCGGUGCACUCUGCGUGGCGCAGGCCAGCAUCGGUUCUCCCAGGGGGACAAAGGCCGCGGGAACGUAGCUCCUUCGGGAGUGUUAUAGCCCGCGGCGGCAUGCCCCUGGGGGGACCGAGGACCGCGCUUCGGCAAGGAUGCUGGCGUAAUGGUCACCAGCGACCCGUCUUGAAACACGGACCAAGGAGUCAAGCAUUGGGGCGAGUGUAUGGGUGCCAAACCCGCACGCGAAAUGAAAGUAAACGCAGGUGAGAGCUUCGGCGCAUCAUCGACCGAUCCUGAUGUCUUCGGAUGGAUUUGAGUAAGAGCCUUACCGCUUGGACCCGAAAGAUGGUGAACUAUGCCUGAAUAGGGUGAAGCCAGAGGAAACUCUGGUGGAGGCUCGCAGCGGUUCUGACGUGCAAAUCGAUCGUCAAAUUUGGGCAUGGGGGCGAAAGACUAAUCGAACCAUCUAGUAGCUGGGUU